UAAAUAUUUGGAAAACUAUUUAACCUAACUUGAAAAACUCAUUUACAGCUUGAAGACAUUCAAAGAACUGCUGUGAAGAAAGGAGAUAGGGAUGAUCACCAUUUCUGCUCAGUGCCUUGGAAUGAGGUUGAAGAUGAAGGUCAGGGACCAGCCGGCAGCAGGUAAUAUUUGAAGUGGGACACCUGUAAUUGCCUGCUUGGCCAACCACGCAGAAAGGGAAGCCUGCUAGAGUUGUCAUUCUAUUGUGAUUAAAAGAGGCCAUGGCAUAAUUUGCUGCAAAGUACAUCUAUUUCCAAAUAGCCUUAUAAUUUUAGUACAAAAUAAAGGAAGUCUUUUGCUCAAUCUUUAUGUACAGGAAAUUAAGAAAUAUGGUAAGACACACAAUUAACUUAUUAUUAAUUGUUCUUAAUGCUAGAGACUUGGUAAGAGGCUUUGCGCAGUUCAUGUCAGCUAGAGAAAGGAUAAGAACAUUAACAAGGUAAAUAUAAUAACUAAUAAAGAAUCCUCACACACACAUCCUAAGUGAUUUUUCAUCUUUAGGAAUAGAGCUCUAAUCAAACACAACAUGGUUUUGUACCUACGCUUUGGGACUAUUAAUAAAUACAUAAUUUUUACAUAAUGAUGCUAUACAUUGGCCAGAUAUAAGAUACAGGAGACAGCCCCACCAAUCUAAACAUGCAUUUUCUUCAUUAAAAUGUCAUUCAGCAGGAGCCAAAGUCAGCAGUUGAAACACACAAUGGUCACGUCCACCUUACAAAUGGAGUAAAAUUCAAUUCCACAUAACACCAUAAAUUUUAUAAACAUGUCUCACUUUAAAUUAAGAGGGAAGAUUGACAUUUUUCACAGUCCUAACAUCGCUGAAGUGACAGCUAUCACAAUAGAACUUCAUUAAGGUUUAGUAUUACAUAGGAAAGGAAUGGCAUUGCGAUUAGGUUCAGUACUUGAUGCCAAAUCACGGGAGAGAAGUGAAAAGCAAAAAACCAAAACACAGGACUCCUGGAUGUUCAUGGCUGGGAGCAUGUCCACGGGAGCACUCUGAAUGUCUAUCAAUAAGAGGGAAUUAUAUAAAUUAGAGUACAGCUGAAAUAUAGAGUAUUUUGCAAGCAAUAAAGUAUGAAGCAACAGAUUCUUUUGACUCAGAAGGACCUCCCAGAUACUCUGAUACUCUGCCAAGUGAAUAAAGUAUCAGAUAUGCACUCAAUUCCAUUCAGAUCUUCACUAAAGCGUGUAUGUGUGUUUACAGAAAUGUCACAGAAGAAUGACGAUUGUUAACAUUGGCUGUCUCUCUAUAGGAAAAUUGGGUGGGGGAAGUAGCAAAAAUCAUGUAGUCAGCAUAUUCAUGUACUAUUUGGGGUUUUUACAGUGAACAUGUAUUCAUGUAUUAGCUAGAGCAAUAAAAUGUUAAAAAUAGGCACUGAACAGUUUUUUUUUUAAAGUCUUUGGAUUACAAAAGAAGUCAGUCAAGUGCAGAAAAACUCAGAAAGGUACUAAUUCUUACACAUCUAAAUCAAUGUAAUGGGAGAUUGUAUACCUUAUAAGUAACUAAACUGGACAUGAUUCUGGACCUGCUGGUACAUGCAGGGAUUUAAAAGACGAGCAUUAGGGAACUGAGGCUAAAGAGAGGGGUAUUUACAAUAGGAGACUACAGUGCAAACCCACUGUUUGUCUCUACAACUCUGCCCUGGCUUUGGGAAUGAAGUGGAUAUUUCUUUCAAGUCAUGACUAAGUCAAAUCUACAGUCAACAUACAAUGAAAUGCUGGUCCCAUGGAGUUCUGUUUCACUUUCACAGGCACUGUCAUUUGUUUUAUUUUGUUUCUAACAUAACAUUUGUACAUAGAGGGGCAUUCUCGCACAAGCCUUUUGAAAAUAGUAUUUUCAAAUGAGUACUUUCAAUGCCUAAACACCAUUUUUAUUCUUAAUGUUAAUGAAUGAAAGUGUCACAUAUGGCUGUGCCUAAAAGGAGAGCAUUAGGCACAGAAACUGGCCGGGGUCAUGGUGGAGAUAUACCUUUUUAGAGGUCAUGUGUGACAUUGAAAUAACUAAGCAGGAAACUUGAUGUGUACAGAGAAGAAUGUGAUGCUCCAAUAUUGCCUGACUUAAGGUCUGCCUGUCACUUAACUUUUGCUCUCUUUUCACUUUCAAAGGUUUAGAAGAAAGAGUGUAUACCAUGUUUAUAAAUUUUAGUUUGCCUAAGAAAUUGUAUAUCAGAGUCUAAUUCAGAUCUAUUGUAUAAAAGUCUAGGGUACAGGGCCCUAAGAACAUGCAUUUGCAUCACCAGGUAAUGCUACAGCAGGUUUCUACUUUUUAAUAAUCACCCUUCCUCAAAAAUAUUUAGCAUUCUUUACAAACUGUCUAUGCAAGUGUCUGGUCUGGCUUACAACAUGUCUUAACAAUAAUAACAUUUCACAUAAAACAUGUAUUUCUGACUUCUAUUUAAAUACCUGAAGAUCAAUUAAGGCCUUCUUCUACGGAAAAAAAAAUGAGUUAUUUAGACUAGAUAUAUUCUCCAAUCCAUAUGGUC